rnacentral:rRNA from 1 species
UAUAGAGGUCCCAAGCGUUGUUCGGAUUCACUGGGCGUAAAGGGUGCGUAGGCGGUUGGGUAAGUCUGUCGUGAAAUCUCCGAGCCUAACUCGGAAACUGCGUCGGAUACUAUUCAACUCGAGGAAUGGAGGGGAGACUGGAAUUCUCGGUGUAGCAGUGAAAUGCGUAGAUAUCGAGAGGAACACCAGUGGCGAAGGCGAGUCUCUGGACAUUUCCUGACGCUGAGGCACGAAAGCCAGGGGAGCAAACGGG